AUGGUGGGCUAUCCGAAAGUUUUCUUCCCACCAGAGGCCUCCGGCAAGGAGACCGCUCUCCCCAUAUCUCUUCUUUUUUGUGUAGAAGGUUUUUCUGCUUUACUGAAAGCUGCUCAAAGGGAGAAGAACAUCAAAGGGGUCUCUUUUGGGAGUGGAGGACCAACUGUCACUCAUUUGCUUUUCGCGGAUGACAGUGUAGAUUUUGUGGAGGGAUCGAGAGAGAGCUUUGAGGCCUUGCACCACAUCUUGCUGGACUAUGAGGUGGCAUCGGGCCAAAAAGUUAAUCUUGAAAAAUCAGCGGUCUUCUUUGGUAAGGGCACGUUGGAUGAUGACAAAAGUGAGCUCAAGCAGGUGCUGCAAAUCUCAGAAGAGGCAUUGAGUGAGAGGUAUUUGGGCCUGCCCACGGUGGUGGGGAGAUCCAAGGACGGUACCUUCAAAUACGUGAAGGAGAGUGCAAAAGGAAAAGUU
rnacentral:rRNA from 1 species